CGGGAGGCAGCAGUGGGGAAUUUUCCGCAAUGGGCGAAAGCCUGACGGAGCAAUACCGCGUGAGGGAAGAAUGCCUAUGGGUUGUAAACCUCUUUUUUCAGGGAGGAACAAAAUGACGUGUACCUGAAGAAUAAGCAUCGGCUAACUCCGUGCCAGCAGCCGCGGUAAGACGGAGGAUGCAAGUGUUAUCCGGAAUCACUGGGCGUAAAGCGUCUGUAGGUGGUUUAAUAAGUCAACUGUUAAAUCUUGACGGCUCAACUUCAAAAUCGCAGUCGAAACUAUUAGACUAGAGUAUAGUAGAGGUAAAGGGAAUUUCCAGUGGAGCGGUGAAAUGCGUAGAUAUUGGAAAGAACACCGAUGGCGAAAGCACUUUACUGGGCUAUUACUAACACUCAGAGACGAAAGCUAGGGUAGCAAAUGGGAUUAGAUACCCCAGUAGUCCUAGCUGUAAACAAUGGAUACUAGAUGUUGAACAGAUCGACCUGUGCAGUAUCAAAGCUAACGCGUUAAGUAUCCCGCCUGGGAAGUAUGCUCGCAAGAGUGAAACUCAAAGGAAUUG
rnacentral:rRNA from 1 species